GAUCGUCACCAGUGACCCCUGCUAGAAGGUAUUGGCCUUAAGAACCAAAAAGAGCCCUAAAUAAGAUCACUGUACCAGAGCGGGGGUCUCACUGUGUCCCUGCAAUGAAUAUGGGAUACAGCUGGAGGUGAUGACUCUACCACAAGUCAGCGACAUGGUGGCCACCAUGUCAGGAUCAGAUGACCUGCACUUCAGCAAGAGGCAGAUUCCGGGCUCGGUCUCUGCACUCACCCACUGGACUUUCUGCAGUCAGACGUAUUCACUAAAGAAGUGCGUUUCCUGCUGCAUCAAAGGCAGAUUCCAGGCUUGGUCUCUG